rnacentral:ncRNA from 1 species
UUUUAAGAGAGUUUGAUCCUAGCUCAGGAUGAACGCUGGCGGCGUGGAUAAGGCAUGCAAGUAGAACGCCCCGCAAGGGGAGUUGCGAACGAGGU